rnacentral:rRNA from 1 species
ACUGACGGAAUAGUUCGUUAAAGGGUGUAGUUAUAAGAUUUAUAGGCAAAUCCGUAAAUUUUGAUGAAACCUGAUAGUACAGCAAAGCUUCGGCUGCGUUGAUAGUGACUGUAACCAGACUGCCGAGAAAAACUUCUAAGGUUCGUUUAACACACCCCGUACCGUAAACCGACACAGGUAGUCGAGGAGAGAAUCCUAAGGUGCUCGAGAGAUUCAUGGCUAAGGAAUUAGGCAAAAUAGACCUGUAACUUCGGGAGAAAGGUCGCCCACAGCAAUGUGGGCCGCAGUGAAGAGGUCCAGGCGACUGUUUAUCAAAAACACAGGGCUCUGCAAAAUCGUAAGAUGAAGUAUAGGGCCUGACACCUGCCCGGUGCUGGAAGGUUAAGAGGAGAUGUUAUCUUCGGAGAAGCAUUGAAUUGAAGCCCCAGUAAACGGCGGCCGUAACAAUAACGGUCCUAAGGUAGCGAAAUUCCUUGUCAGGUAAGUUCUGACCCGCACGAAUGGUAUAAUGAUCUGGGCGCUGUCUCGGCUUCAAACUCGGUGAAAUCUUAGUCCCUGUGAAAAUGCAGGGUAGACGCAGUAAGACAAUAAGACCCCGUGAAGCUUUACUAUAACUUCAUAUUGGUUUUUGGUUUAACAUAUGUAGGAUAGGUGGGAGUCUAUGAAGUGAUGACGCUAGUUGUCAUGGAGACAUCCUUGAAAUACCACCUUUGUUAAAUUGAGGACCUAACUUGCACCCCUUAUCUGGGUGGAGGACAGUGUGUGGUGGGUAGUUUGACUGGGGCGGUCGCCUCCCAAAAGGUAACGGAGGCGCACAAAGUUACACUCAACAUGGUCGGAAAUCAUGUGUGGAGCGCAAAAGUAUAAGUGUGAUUGACUGUGAGACUUACAAGUCGAGCAGGGUCGAAAGACGGUUUUAGUGAUCCGCUGGUUCCUUGUGGAAGGGCCAGCGCUCAACGGAUAAAAGUUACUCCGGGGAUAACAGGCUUAUCUCCCCCAAGAGUUCACAUCGACGGGGAGGUUUGGCACCUCGAUGUCGGCUCGUCUCAUCCUGGAGCUGUAGUUGGUUCCAAGGGUUGGGCUGUUCGCCCAUUAAAGAGGCACGCGAGCUGGGUUCAGAACGUCGUGAGACAGUUUGGUCCAUAUCUACUGUGUCCGUAGGAUAUUUGAGAAAAGCUUCCCCUAGUACGAGAGGACCGGGGUGGACGUACCACUGGUGUUCCGGUUGUCCUGCCAAGGGCAUGGCCGGGUAGCUAUGUACGGAAUCGAUAAAUACUGAAAGCAUCUAAGUAUGAAGCGAAUUUCAAGAUAAGAUAUCCCACUCUUUAUGAGGUAAAUUCCCUUAUAGACUAUGAGGUUGAUAGGCUGGGUGUGUAAGUGUAGUAAUGCAUUGAGCUAACCAGUACUAAUUGAAUGGGAAAUCAUGUG